ensembl:snRNA U1 U1 spliceosomal RNA
AAAAUUAUUUCAAUAAAUGCAGCCAUCCCUCGAUCAAGAAAGGGAGUUUUUCCAGGGUGAGGCUUAGUCACUGCAAUGCAGAUCCUCUGACCCUGGGAUUGUCCCCAAAUUUGGGGACCUCUAUUGUGUACUUUGUGGUCGUGGGAGACGGUAUUACAACUUUCGCUAU